AGCGUACACGGUGGAUGCCCUGGCAGUCAGAGGCGAUGAAGGACGUGCUAAUCUGCGAUAAGCGUCGGUAAGGUGAUAUGAACCGUUAUAACCGGCGAUUUCCGAAUGGGGAAACCCAGUGUGAUUCGUCACACUAUCAUUAACUGAAUCCAUAGGUUAAUGAGGCGAACCGGGGGAACUGAAACAUCUAAGUACCCCGAGGAAAAGAAAUCAACCGAGAUUCCCCCAGUAGCGGCGAGCGAACGGGGAGCAGCCCAGAGCCUGAAUCAGUGUGUGUGUUAGUGGAAGCGUCUGGAAAGGCGCGCGAUACAGGGUGACAGCCCCGUACACAAAAAUGCACAUACUGUGAGCUCGAUGAGUAGGGCGGGACACGUGGUAUCCUGUCUGAAUAUGGGGGGACCAUCCUCCAAGGCUAAAUACUCCUGACUGACCGAUAGUGAACCAGUACCGUGAGGGAAAGGCGAAAAGAACCCCGGCGAGGGGAGUGAAAAAGAACCUGAAACCGUGUACGUACAAGCAGUGGGAGCACAGGGCAAUCUGUGUGACUGCGUACCUUUUGUAUAAUGGGUCAGCGACUUAUAUUCUGUAGCAAGGUUAACCGAAUAGGGGAGCCGAAGGGAAACCGAGUCUUAACUGGGCGUUAAGUUGCAGGGUAUAGACCCGAAACCCGGUGAUCUAGCCAUGGGCAGGUUGAAGGUUGGGUAACACUAACUGGAGGACCGAACCGACUAAUGUUGAAAAAUUAGCGGAUGACUUGUGGCUGGGGGUGAAAGGCCAAUCAAACCGGGAGAUAGCUGGUUCUCCCCGAAAGCUAUUUAGGUAGCGCCUCGUGAAUUCAUCUCCGGGGGUAGAGCACUGUUUCGGCAAGGGGGUCAUCCCGACUUACCAACCCGAUGCAAACUGCGAAUACCGGAGAAUGUUAUCACGGGAGACACACGGCGGGUGCUAACGUCCGUCGUGAAGAGGGAAACAACCCAGACCGCCAGCUAAGGUCCCAAAGUCAUGGUUAAGUGGGAAACGAUGUGGGAAGGCCCAGACAGCCAGGAUGUUGGCUUAGAAGCAGCCAUCAUUUAAAGAAAGCGUAAUAGCUCACUGGUCGAGUCGGCCUGCGCGGAAGAUGUAACGGGGCUAAACCAUGCACCGAAGCUGCGGCAGCGACGCUGAUGCGUUGUUGGGUAGGGGAGCGUUCUGUAAGCCUGCGAAGGUGUGCUGUGAGGCAUGCUGGAGGUAUCAGAAGUGCGAAUGCUGACAUAAGUAACGAUAAAGCGGGUGAAAAGCCCGCUCGCCGGAAGACCAAGGGUUCCUGUCCAACGUUAAUCGGGGCAGGGUGAGUCGACCCCUAAGGCGAGGCCGAAAGGCGUAGUCGAUGGGAAACAGGUUAAUAUUCCUGUACUUGGUGUUACUGCGAAGGGGGGACGGAGAAGGCUAUGUUGGCCGGGCGACGGUUGUCCCGGUUUAAGCGUGUAGGCUGGUUUUCCAGGCAAAUCCGGAAAAUCAAGGCUGAGGCGUGAUGACGAGGCACUACGGUGCUGAAGCAACAAAUGCCCUGCUUCCAGGAAAAGCCUCUAAGCAUCAGGUAACAUCAAAUCGUACCCCAAACCGACACAGGUGGUCAGGUAGAGAAUACCAAGGCGCUUGAGAGAACUCGGGUGAAGGAACUAGGCAAAAUGGUGCCGUAACUUCGGGAGAAGGCACGCUGAUAUGUAGGUGAAGUCCCUCGCGGAUGGAGCUGAAAUCAGUCGAAGAUACCAGCUGGCUGCAACUGUUUAUUAAAAACACAGCACUGUGCAAACACGAAAGUGGACGUAUACGGUGUGACGCCUGCCCGGUGCCGGAAGGUUAAUUGAUGGGGUUAGCGCAAGCGAAGCUCUUGAUCGAAGCCCCGGUAAACGGCGGCCGUAACUAUAACGGUCCUAAGGUAGCGAAAUUCCUUGUCGGGUAAGUUCCGACCUGCACGAAUGGCGUAAUGAUGGCCAGGCUGUCUCCACCCGAGACUCAGUGAAAUUGAACUCGCUGUGAAGAUGCAGUGUACCCGCGGCAAGACGGAAAGACCCCGUGAACCUUUACUAUAGCUUGACACUGAACAUUGAGCCUUGAUGUGUAGGAUAGGUGGGAGGCUUUGAAGUGUGGACGCCAGUCUGCAUGGAGCCGACCUUGAAAUACCACCCUUUAAUGUUUGAUGUUCUAACGUUGACCCGUAAUCCGGGUUGCGGACAGUGUCUGGUGGGUAGUUUGACUGGGGCGGUCUCCUCCUAAAGAGUAACGGAGGAGCACGAAGGUUGGCUAAUCCUGGUCGGACAUCAGGAGGUUAGUGCAAUGGCAUAAGCCAGCUUGACUGCGAGCGUGACGGCGCGAGCAGGUGCGAAAGCAGGUCAUAGUGAUCCGGUGGUUCUGAAUGGAAGGGCCAUCGCUCAACGGAUAAAAGGUACUCCGG
rnacentral:rRNA from 1 species